GACGAACGCUGGCGGCGUGCUUAACACAUGCAAGUCGAACGGAAAGGCCCUGCUUUUGUGGGGCGCUCGAUUGGCGAACGGGGGAGUAACACGUGUGUAACCUGCCCUUGUCUUUGGGAUAACUUCAGGAAACUGGGGCGAAUAUCGGAUAGGAUCUCCUGCUGCGUGGUGGGGGUUGGAAAGUUUCGGCGGUUGGGGAUGUACUCGCGGCUUAUCAGCUGGUUGGUGGGGUAGUUGCGUACCAAGGGUUUGACGGGUAGCCGGCAUGGGAGGGGGAACGGCCACCUUGGGACUGAGAUACGGCGCAGUCUGCUACGGGAGGCAGCAGUGGGGAACAUUGCACAAUGGGCGGACGCCUGAUGCGGCAACGCUGCGUGCGGGAUGACGGCCUUCGGGUUGUAAACCGAUUUCGACUGUGACGAGGCGGUAGUGACGGUAACGGGUAAAGAAGCACCGGCUAACUACGUG
rnacentral:rRNA from 1 species